GGUCUGCCCCGGGAAGAGGGCGGGCGGGGGCAGCGGCGCGCGACGGGCCACGACGACUCUUGGGACCUCUGAGCGCAGGAACAGGGAAGGAGGGGGAGGGGGAGCCGAAGGGCGCGGAGCGCUGGGCCGGAGUGGCCUCCCCCUCCCCGAGGUCGGGGUCUCUUAGCCGCUAAGGAGCGGGGCUGCAGCCUCUGCAGCUGGGCUUCCCACUCUGACAGGCGCCAUUUUACCGCCCAAAGGGCUCCCUCCUCCUCUCUUCCCUCCUCCUCUUCCCCGCUGACUGUACUUCCGGUAAUGACGUGUUUUCACUUCCCCGGGAUUGAUGUUCCUUCAACUCCUUCUGACGAGGGAGGGUAGAGUUAAGGCAAGCAGAGCGCUGAAGAGGGCUGCAGCAUUGCGCACGCGCACGGGGUGAUUGCUGGGCGGACCCUGGAGCGGAGCCUCUGACGGUGUGGGCGGGGCCUAGUGACGUCAUUCGUCCCCAGGUUCGGACGUCUUGGGGAGUGGGGCUCGUGCGACCCCUGUCCCCAUCCCUCUGACAACUGUUCCAACGGCCCCUCUCGCCCCUGUCGUAGCGCAAGAAGACUGAGGAUGCCAUCUCCACGGCUGUGCGCAGAGGCUCUGGAGCGGCCCCUACGAGGGCGCCCCCGCCCCGAGAACACGGAACAUUUAAAAAAAAAAAUAGACCCUUGGCUCCAGACUCUGGGGACCUUGAAUGGCGGAAGCAAUCGUAAGCGCCCCGCCUCCUUGGUCGUGACGACAUCAGAAAGCGUCCGAAGACGUCAGAGAUGCUGGACUCGCUGUUGGCCAGCGGUGGCUUGGUGCUCCUGAGAGAUUCCGUGGAGUGGGAGGGGCGGAGUCUCCUAAAGGCGCUUCUCAAGAAAUCUGCACUUCGUGGGGAGCAGAUCCACGUUCUGGGCUGUGAAGUGAGUGAGGAAGAGUUUCGCGAAGGGUUUGGCUCUGACGUCAACAGCCGGCUGGUUUACCAUGACCUCUUUAAAGACCCUCUUAACUGGUCAAAAACUGGUGAAGCUGUCCCCGAAGGACCCCUAGGAACCUUAAGAGCCUUGUGCAGGACAGGUCCCGGCCCUGUCACCAUUGCUCUUGACUCUCUCAGCUGGCUGUUGCUUCACCUUCCCUGUGUUACACUCUGUCAAACUCUGCAUGCUCUGAGCCAUCCAAGUGUCUCCCCAGGUGCUGACCCCCUAGUAGAGCAGGUACGAGUCCUGGGCCUGCUACAUGAAGAGCUUCAUGGUCCUGGCCCCAUGGGAGCGCUGAGCACCCUUGCUCAUACAGAGGUGACUCUGAGUGGUAAAAUGGACCAGACUUCAGCCUCCAUCCUCUGUCGAAGGCCCCAACAACAUGCAACUUACCAGACUUGGUCGUUCUCCAUUCUUCCUGACUUCAGCCUGGAUCUCCAUGAGAGGCUUCCCCUCCAUUCCAAGCUACCCUCCAGUCACACAACUCAGGUGGAUCCCACGACUCAUUUGACCUUUAACCUUCACUUAUCCGAAAAAGAAAGAGAAGCCAGAGACAGCCUCACUCUGCCUUUCCAGUUCAGCUCUGAAAAGGGCUGAAGUCCGCCUCCAGAGACAACUCCAGGGAGUGGUUCUACCCACCUAGACACAAUUCCCACCAUGAUACUUCUUUCCAGUAGAUCUAUGGUCCUGGCUGAGCCAGACCAGAUGGGGAGGUGGCCCUCUUCUCCAGACAGCAAGCACUGCUGCGUUCUGGCCCAGGCCAGAAAACUAGCCACAUCUUCUAUGAGCCAGACGCUUUCGAUGAUGUGGACCAAGACGACCCAGAUGAUGACCUAGACAUUUGACUAGACAGGAGAGGAGGACUGUGGCUUAGAAUCAUCCUAUUGUGUGCAGAGACUGGUCCCUGCCCUCCCUCUGUUGAUUGUCUGUGGAGGCCCCGUCCUGUGAACCAAGGAGUAGCGUCUAAUCGGGGCAGAAAGUGUAGUGAGAGUGUCGUGUAUAGCAUGAGAACAAGAAACCUCCCUCUUCCCAUGCCUGUUUCUAAUAAACCAGAUAAGUGUGUGUGUGUAUUAAUCUAAAA